CAGCAGCCGCGGGAAUACAGAGGGUGCGAGCGUUAAUCGGAUUUACUGGGCGUAAAGCGUGCGUAGGCGGCUUCUUAAGUCGGAUGUGAAAUCCCUGAGCUUAACUUAGGAAUUGCAUUCGAUACUGGGAAGCUAGAGUAUGGGAGAGGAUGGUAGAAUUCCAGGUGUAGCGGUGAAAUGCGUAGAGAUCUGGAGGAAUACCGAUGGCGAAGGCAGCCAUCUGGCCUAAUACUGACGCUGAGGAGCGAAAGCAUGGGGAGCGAACAGGAUUAGAUACCCCUGUAGUCCCUGUCUCUUAUAC
rnacentral:rRNA from 1 species